rnacentral:rRNA from 1 species
UACGAAGGGGGCUAGCGUUGCUCGGAAUCACUGGGCGUAAAGGGUGCGUAGGCGGGUCUUUAAGUCAGGGGUGAAAUCCUGGAGCUCAACUCCAGAACUGCCUUUGAUACUGGCGAGCUUGAGUUCGGGAGAGGUGAGUGGAACUGCGAGUGUAGAGGUGAAAAUUCGUAGAUAUUCGCAAGAACACCAGUGGCGAAGGCG